rnacentral:rRNA from 1 species
CAGCAGUAGCCGCGGUAAUACGGAGGGUGCAAGCGUUAAUCGGAAUUACUGGGCGUAAAGCGCACGCAGGCGGUCUGACAAGUCAGAUGUGAAAUCCCCGGGCUUAACCUGGGAACUGCAUUUGAAACUGUCAGGCUGGAGUCUUGUAGAGGGGGGUGGAAUUCCAGGUGUAGCGGUGAAAUGCGUAGAGAUCUGGAGGAAUACCGGUGGCGAAGGCGGCCCCCUGGACAAAGACUGACGCUCAGGUGCGAAAGCGUGGGGAGCAAACAGGAUUAGAUACCCGCGUAGUCCCUGUCUCUUAUAA